rnacentral:rRNA from 1 species
UUAGAUCAGAAGCGAGAAUGUUGACAUGAGUAGCGACAAAGAGGGUGAGAGACCCUCUCGCCGUAAGUCCAAGGGUUCCUGCUUAAAGCUAAUCUGAGCAGGGUAAGCCGGCCCCUAAGGCGAGGCCGAAAGGCGUAGUCGAUGGGAACCAGGUUAAUAUUCCUGGGCCAGGAGGAAGUGACGGAUCUCGAAGGUAGUUUGCCCUUAUCGGAUAGGGUGGGCUGCUCAGAGGUUCCAGGAAAUAGCCCUCCAUCAGACCGUACCCUAAACCGACACAGGUGGACUGGUAGAGUAUACCAAGGCGCUUGAGAGAACCACGUUAAAGGAACUCGGCAAAAUGCCUCCGUAAGUUCGCGAGAAGGAGGCCCCAUAUCUGGGCAACCAGGUGUGGGGGGCACAAACUAGGGGGUGGCGACUGUUUACUUAAAACACAGGGCUGUGCGAAGCCGUAAGGCGACGUAUACAGUCUGACGCCUGCCCGGUGCUGGAAGAUUAAAAGGAGGGGUGCAAGCUCUGAAUUGAAGCCCCAGUAAACGGCGGCCGUAACUAUAACGGUCCUAAGGUAGCGAAAUUCCUUGUCGGGUAAGUUCCGACCUGCACGAAUGGCGUAACGAUCUCCCCGCUGUCUCUAACGUGGACUCAGCGAAAUUGAACUGUGUGUCAAGAUGCACACUACCCGCGGUUAGACGGAAAGACCCCAUGCACCUUUACUCCAGCUUUGCACUGGUAUCAGGAUUGUGAUGUGCAGGAUAGGUGGUAGGCAUCGAAGCGGGGACGCCAGUUCUCGUGGAGCCUCCCUUGAGAUACCACCCUUCGCCAUCUUGAUAUCUAACCGCGGCCCGUUAUCCGGGUCCGGGACCCUGCAUGGUGGGGAGUUUGACUGGGGCGGUCGCCUCCCAAACAGUAACGGAGGCGCGCGAAGGUAGGCUCAGACCGGUCGGAAAUCGGUCGUUGAGUGCAAUGGCAGAAGCCUGCCUGACUGCAAGUCUGACAAGACGAGCAGAGAUGAAAGUCGGUCAUAGUGAUCCGGUGGUCCCAAGUGGGAGGGCCAUCGCUCAACGGAUAAAAGGUACGCUGGGGAUAACAGGCUGAUGAUGCCCAAGAGUCCAUAUCGACGGCAUCGUUUGGCACCUCGAUGUCGGCUCAUCUCAUCCUGGGGCUGGAGCAGGUCCCAAGGGUAUGGCUGUUCGCCAUUUAAAGAGGUACGUGAGCUGGGUUCAGAACGUCGUGAGACAGUUCGGUCCCUAUCUGCCGUGGGUGUAGGAGACUUGAGAAGAGUUGCCCCUAGUACGAGAGGACCGGGGUGAACGAACCACUGGUGGACCAGUUGUCGUGCCAACGGCAGUGCUGGGUAGCUAUGUUCGGACAGGAUAACCGCUGAAGGCAUCUAAGCGGGAAGCCCCCUUCAAAACAAGGUCUCCCUUGAGAGCCGUGGAAGACCACCACGUCGAUAGGCCGGAGGUGUAAGUGCAGCAAUGCAUUCAGCUGACCGGUACUAAUUGCUU